rnacentral:lncRNA from 1 species
ACAACAAGAGCUGCCACCCUGCUCCACUCCCUGCAAUGGAUUCCAUGUGGCUCCACCACUCUUUGGCAAGUCACGACAACAGACACCACUCCACUCCCCGCGACAAGCUCCACGUGGCUCUGAACAGCCCCUGACGCCACUACUCUCCGCAACAAACUCUUUAUGGCCCUGAGCGGCCUGCUACCAGGCGGUUACAAACGUCACUAUCAAUCUGUUACGCCCUCUGCCUAUAAAAAGGGGACCCCAGAUACAUUAUUCUUUAAGCUCUAAUUUUUAUCUCAAAACUCUGCUAAAAUUUUCAUUCGAGCACUCCAUUUCUGUUGAAGUAGAGUACUAACUUGAGUGUCAGAGGAUCUUGCCGGAGCACCCCCAACUCCGGUUUAGACUUUCUUUGCAUGUCCCAGCGGCGGCCACGGUCAUCCCAGCUCUAGCUUCUCAAACUUCGAUGGAAUUCUACACCAACAUAAUUUUGUCUUGCCGGAGCACCCCCAACUCCAGUUUAGACUUUCUUUGCAGGUCUCGACGGCGGCCACGGUCAUCCCAGCUCUAGCUUCUCCGACUUCGACAGAAUUUUGCACCAACAGGCAUAAUUAGACUAAGUUAAACCCAACUUAAUUAGGCUUAAUUAGGCUCAAUAAAAUCUUAAUCAAAUUAGAAAUUGACUAAGCCCAACCCCUGAUCAGAUCAGGGACCAAACCACCUUGGCGAUUAGGUCAACACUUAACCUAAUC